CUUAAAACACCUAAUACUUUAUAAGAAUUCAAGUCCUUUAGCUCAAAUACAAAUAUAUCCAUGCACUAUUUGGACUUUUAGAGAACAGGAACACGUCAAUGUAUUUAAUUAAGGAGUUGCUUGUAAAGGCAAUGAAGUAAUCAGAUGAUAGAAAUCAAUUCAAUUCUAGGAAUUCUCAGGCAUUAUAUAGUUACUCUUUUUUGAAAUAUGAAGAUUCAGAUAUGGCUCUUCAACUUUUUUCGAUUUUUAUUUUUUUAUUGGUACAUAUUUGCAAUACAUCAUGUUUACAUUCUUCAUGGGGAGUCAGUGCAUGUACACAACACAGCUGAGCUCCUUCUUCUUCCCCUUCUCCUUUUUUUUUUUUUUUUUGUACCAGGAACUGAACUCAGGGACUUGUGCUUGCCAGGCAGGCGCCACAUGGCUGAACUACAUUCCUGAUCCAACACAGCUUAAUUCUUUCAUCUCCAUCUCUCCUCCCUCUCCUGUCCUUCCAUCUCUUGGUCUCUAUCUCCCUACUUCCUAUACCUAUCUUUUAUUUUGCUCUUUAUUUAUAUUGUGGGUUUCUCAUAUAAGAGAAACCAUACAACCUCCAACUUUUUUGUUUUGUUUUUACUACAUACUAAUAUGUUCUGAAGGUUUAAAAAAAGGAGAAAAAAAAAGAGAAAGCCAACAGUUUUACUGUACUUCAGCCCAAUCUUUGGUCAGUCGGCCAAAGUUGGUAACAUAAUCUGCCAGCUUCCAACAUCAACAGAUGCAAACUUUCACUUCUCCAAUGACUGUACUCCUUGAACAUUCAAACUAAUGAAAUUCAAUUUUAUCGUUUUUAGGUGAAUUCAAGGUUUGGGGACCAUGCUACCCCCCCCCAUUAUUUAAUUCCAAUUUACACUUUAUUACUUUAAACUUCCUUGUUCCUCCACAUGCACUGGCUAGGUUCCUUUAUACUGAGAAUGGGUCGACCAGAACAAUCGUCAACAUUAGUGGGUUCAGAAAGGUUCAUUCCUCUGGACACACACACACACACACACACACACACACACACACACACACUCACACACACAGCCUGCAGCACUUUCCCACGGAUUCGCCUAAGCGGCCUGAGGACCUCCUCUGGUGUCCCAGCCCGGACUCCCCAGGAGCGCGCCGCUCCGCACUUCCGGACCGCAUGGUCCGAGCCCCUGGGUCCCGGCGCCGCAGUGGGAGCCCCGCGCCUAGGUUCCGGUGGGAAGCUGCCAGAACCUGUUGUAGUCAGUGGUUUUAUCCCACUCCCUCCUAUUUUCAAAGGCCGCAGGCCCACGAACACCUUCCCCUGCCCAGAUUCCUCUCCCCAGUGGGCACUUUCCCCUCGCCGGGGCCCUGCCCGAAGGCCUCCGGAGCGCUUCGCGGGGAGGGAACGUGCGGCCACACCUACCUGCGCCAGGUCACAGGUUUUCUGAUUCCAUUUUGAGGAGAUAAAAGAAGGAAAACAGCUGGUGUGGUGGCACACACCUGUAAUCCCAGCACUUGGAAGGCUGUAACAGGAGGAUCACCAUGAGUUCGAGGACAGCCUGGGCUACACAGUGAGUUUAAGGCCAGUCUGAACUACAUAGUGAAACCUGCCUCAAAACAAACAAAUAAGAAGAGGAGGAGGAGGAGGAAGAGGAAGAGAAAGAAGAGGAGUAGGGAGAAAAGGAAGAGGAAGAGGAAGGAAAACAGAGGAAGGUUGCCUAAGAACUCAUCACUGUUGAGCAGAAGUGUGAUUCUGAGGGCCUGAUACAGUGAUACACCAUGGUUCUCUAUGUAGGGUGUGAAAUUUUUCUGAUGUUUCUAUGAAUCUGUAGCAAGUGAACAGGCAGAAAGGAAAUGAUGUUUUGAGCAUGUGCAGAUAGCUCUACAUUCUGCUCUCUUUUACAAAUGCAGCUGAACAUGCAUAUAUUUAUUAUGAAAUCAUGAGAUCACACUUUCAUGGUGUAGGAUGUGCUUAUUUUAGUUUAUGUUACAAUUUGAUGUAAGAUGUUACCUACAUCUUAGUGAAGAGCUCAUUUAACUCUUUCCCCGUCACUGUUUAUUGUGACUCCAUAGGAAGUAUAAAUCUGAACAACUUUUCAUUUAAGCAAAACAACAGAUUCUAAACACUUAAGAGAUUCUGUUCUCUCCUUUUUCCACAGUUUAGAGAAGUAAAUUUUGAAGUUCAACAUCUAAACACUCUGUAUUCAGGAAGGUAAAUUCUGAAAAUGGUUGGAGCUCCCAGGGAUUGUAAGGACCAGUAAGACAAAGAACCCUCGAAACACAAGCAGCAGGAGCAUCUGUCCAUGUCACAUUUCUUGUGAUGUGACCCUGAGGGGAGGCUGCUGCCUGGGAGCUCAGGGUGUAGGACCUGGACCUCAGGGAUCGGGGAGGUGUGGUCUCAGGGACUCACCACUCAUUCACCUCAUUCUUCACCCUCCCUCCUCAUCACAGGCCACACUGAGUACCCAAAACUUCCUUUUAAAAUUAUUUUUUUAAUUGGCACAUAUUGAAGAUGUACAAUUGAUAAUUUUAUAUAUGUAUGCAGUGUGUAAUGAUAAAUCAGAGUAAUUAGCAUUUCUUUGUGUUGAAAACUUUUGAAUUCUUCUUGUUUGUUUGAGAUA
rnacentral:lncRNA from 1 species